rnacentral:hammerhead_ribozyme from 1 species
AUCCAGCUGACGAGUCUCAAAUGGGGCGAGACGCGCAUCAUGGAU